rnacentral:rRNA from 1 species
UACGGAGGUGGCAAGCGUUGCUCGGAAUCACUGGGCGUAAAGGGCGCGUAGGCGGGGAGGUAAGUCGGGUGUGAAAUCCCUUGGCUCAACCAAGGAACUGCGCCCGAGACUGCUUCUCUUGAGUCCCGGAGAGGAAGGUGGAAUUCCCGGUGUAGCGGUGAAAUGUGUAGAGAUCGGGAGGAACACCGGUGGCGAAGGCGGCCUUCUGGACGGUGACUGACGCUGAGGCGCGAAAGCGUGGGGAGCAAACAGG